rnacentral:lncRNA from 1 species
UUGGAUGAGGUCGUGUGGGGAGAAGAGGGGGAAGAUGAUGAGGUUAUCAAGGAGGGGAACGCCAGGACCAUCUUUCAUCUCUCCCUGUGUAUGUCAUUGAGGAAGAUGAAGAACCCAAGAAAUGGCAUUAUAGUCUUUUCUCAUCUUAGAAAUGGCACACAAGACAUGGGGAAUUUUAAUCACUGACAUUGAAAGGGAAGUUGAUCGUUUCGAUGGCAUUGAAGGGAUUGGAAUAAUUUCUAAUGGCAUACAUGUAAUUGACUCUACUUUUUAGCUAUAUAUAUUCCAUAGAUUCACACACAUUCUCUUUAAUUUGUAGCUUCAUGAAUAUUAACCACAAGUUUUGUUGGCUUCAUGAACUCGUAUUUUGUACCUAAC